UUCCUACGGGGCGCAGCAGUGAGGAAUAUUGGUCAAUGGCCGAGAGGCUGAACCAGCCAAGUCGCGUGAGGGAAGAAUGUCCUAUGGAUUCUAAACCUCUUUUGUCAGGGAGCAAAGUCACCCACGUGUGGGUGUUGGAGAGUACCUGAAGAAAAAGCAUUGGCUAACUCCGUGCCAGCAGCCGCGGUAAUACGGAGGAUGCGGGCGUUAUCCGGAUUUAUUGGGUUUAAAGGGUGCGCAGGCGGUCUGUUAAGUCAGCGGUCAAAGCCCGGGGCUCAACCCCGGCCCGCCGUUGAAACUGGCAG
rnacentral:rRNA from 1 species